ensembl:lncRNA
CUUUUUUUUUUUUUUUUGAUAGAAAAGUCAGAUACAUAGACAAGCAGUAGGAAGAAAAGGAAAACCAGCAGUGUCCCUGCCAGCAGCAGACAAGGACUGUUACCACUGCUGCAGUUGUCUUCCAACACUCCAAGCAGGUGCAAAUGAGCUUUCCUUGGAACCCGCCAGCUUCGCAGGGAGUCUCGAGAAUAAUCCCGGGAGGAAGACAAAGUUUCUAGGGACGUAAGUGUGGAGUUUGUCUUUGUAGAUGCCACCUUGGAGUGAGGCAGCUUUCUUCUGGGGACGGGGCAGCUUUUUCUUUCUUCAGGGACUUUUUUGGCCGUAGAAGUUACCGUCACAGCAUUUGAAUACCACUGGUCGGCAGCCCUGGUAUCCUGGACGUCACAGGCUAACAACUGGAGUUGCCCGUUACUAAGAGAGCAGGUGAAGGAGACCUCAGAAGUGAGAGCAGAUGGCAGGUCCGGAAGGGACAGAAAGGGAUCCUUGCAGAAGGGAGAGGAGAAGGACGUGAACAUGGUGGCGGUCCUCCUGGACCACACCCUCUGGUGGUUUGAUCGCAGGAGAGUAAGCAGCAGAAAGUUCCUGCAUUCCUGAACCAACGAACACAGGCCUGGGAGAUGUUCUGCAGUGACUCUGAUCGUCUGUGGAAGGCAUGCACAAUACUUAGGUGACGCUUACUACUGCUUCUCAGCCUGCUAAACUCUACGUCCCACAAUGGAUGAAGAAUCAUCAACUCAGGGCAAUGCAAUGCAAUCAGUAAGUGUGUUAGAAGCACCCAAAAGAUGUCCACCAGUGUGCCAAGCGCUGUCCUAGUAAAUCGUACGAAUCUGACUGACAUUCUGCCCUCAAUAGUAUUACAGCUGUUUACCUGUAACAAGAGACAAGGUAAAUCACACACAGAGGUUAAGUAAGUUAACUGCUCCUUAGCAGAAGAACUAGGAAUAGGUUCUUCUGCUUCGCUUGAAGUAAUUGGGGAGAAAACAAGGGGCCUUGACACACUUAGAUUUAGGUGUUGUAUAGUUCAGGUCCCCAGCUUUGCUUGCCUAGAUUAUUGGCAUAGCUUUUCAAAAGUGAUUUCCAAAAGGAAGGAAGUAUCAGUGGGCACUGCAAGUAACAGGACUAAGAGCCAUGUUACGAAACGUUUGUAAAGUGGAUACAGAUACUGGGUUACUAUGCAACAUGUUUUGUUUACUAUAAGUCUUGAACCAAAAAAUAAAGGUGAGAGUCAGUGCUCUUUAUAAAGUGAGAGCUAGUGAUCUUUAUGAAAUGAAAAUCUGAUCUUAUAUACUCUCUCUUAAAGCCCUUAGGAGGCUCCCCAAACCCCCAGAUCUUAAACUCAGCCCUCUGAUGUAUCUUUCUGCCAAAUCAAGUUGACCGUCUUCCCUGUUCCUUCUCUGCCUCCUUCACCUGCUCCCUCUUCCACUCCUCCAGGACUCAGCUCAGUGGUUGCUUCUUCCAAGAAACCUUGUUUUACAAGAAAAGUGUUGCACAGUCAAGAUAUGUUUACGCAACUCAGGAUGAGACAGAGUUAAGCAGACUUCUGAAUGGCAUAGCUCUUCAGGGCUCUUAAUUUGCAAAUGCACUUGUACUUGUCAAAGGAAAGUUAGCAUGUGUGGCAUCAGUCAUGCAAACUUCCAUGUCCACAGAACUCUUCUGUUGUAGUCCAUCUUGAAGGACCAGGAUUCCCUAGCACUUCCUUUGGGAAAUUGGGACCUUGCUCGUUUCUCAAGUGCUUGUGAUGGAAUCUAUGUUCUGUCAGAAGAUGAGUGCUCACUUGGGGCAAAGGAAGUGUAGCAAGAGUGGAGCUGAAGAUGGGAUGAAGCAGGGUUUGGGGAGAUGCUGAAGAGCUGGAUGCUGAGAGUGGUGAGCAUGGAGCUGGGUCGGGGGCCAGCUCGGCCUCUACUGACCUGAAGAAUGGGAAAUACCCCGUCUGAGGGGAGGCAGUAGCUAGUUGAGGGUGGAACAGUGAACUCUAAGGCUUCAUGACUGGGUCCUUCACGCUUGGUUCAUUUCAACCCAAGUAUUCCGUAAGGAGCUUGUUGGAGA